GGCUGGAGAGAUGGCUCAGUGGUUAAGAGCACCAACUGCUCUUCCGGAGGUCCUGAGUUCAAUUCCCAGCAGCCA
rnacentral:tRNA from 1 species